rnacentral:rRNA from 1 species
CCUACGGGUGGCAGCAGUGAGGCAUAUUGGUCAAUGGACGAGAGUCUGAUCCAGCCCAGUAGCGUGAAGGAUGACUGCCCUCUGGGUUGUAAACUUCUUUUAUAUGGGAAUAAAAUGUUCCACGUGUGGGCUUUUGUAUGUACCAUAUGAAUAAGGAUCGGCUAACUCCGUGCCAGCAGCCGAGGUAAUAAGGCGGAGCCGAGCGUUAUCAGGAUUUAUUGGGUUUAAAGGGAGCGUAGGUGGAUUGUUAAGUCAGUUGUGAAAGUUUGCGGCUCAACCGUAAAAUUGCAGUUGAAACGGGCAGUCUUGAGUACAGUAGAGGUGGGCGGAAUUCGUGGUGUAGCGGUGAAAUGCUUAGAUAUCACGAAGAACUCCGAUUGCGAAGGCAGCUCACUGGACUGCAACUGACACUGAGGCUCGAAAGUGUGGGUAUCAAACAGGAUUAGAUACCCCAGUAGUC